GGGAGGCAGCAGUGAGGAAUAUUGGACAAUGGGGGAAACCCUGAUCCAGCGACGCCGCGUGGGUGAAGAAGGCCUGCGGGUUGUAAAGCCCUUUCGGUAGGGACGAAAACUCUUGCCCUAACAAGGCAGGAGCUUGACUUAACCUACAUAAGAAGCACCGGCUAACUCUGUGCCAGCAGCCGCGGUAAUACAGAGGGUGCGAGCGUUAAUCGGAAUUACUGGGCGUAAAGCGCACGUAGGCGGCUUUGUAAGUCGGAUGUGAAAUCCCCGGGCUCAACCUGGGAACUGCACCCGAAACUACAUUGCUAGAGUAUGGGAGAGGGAGGCGGAAUUUCCGGUGUAGCAGUGAAAUGCGUAGAUAUCGGAAGGAACAUCAGUGGCGAAGGCGGCCUCCUGGACCAAUACUGACGCUCAGGUGCGAAAGCGUGGGGAGCAAACAGGAUUAGAUACCCCUGUAGUCC
rnacentral:rRNA from 1 species